AGUGAACGCUGGCGGUAGGCCUAACACAUGCAAGUCGAACGGCAGCACAGUAAGAGCUUGCUCUUACGGGUGGCGAGUGGCGGACGGGUGAGGAAUACAUCGGAAUCUACUUUUUCGUGGGGGAUAACGUAGGGAAACUUACGCUAAUACCGCAUACGAUCUAAGGGUGAAAGCAGGGGAUCUUCGGACCUUGCGCGAUCGAAUGAGCCGAUGUCGGAUUAGCUAGUUGGCGGGGUAAAGGCCCACCAAGGAGACGAUCCGUAGCUGGUCUGCGAGGAUGAUCAGCCACACUGGAACUGAGACACGGUCCAGACUCCUACGGGAGGCAGCAGUGGGGAAUAUUGGACAAUGGGCGCAAGCCUGAUCCAGCCAUACCGCGUGGGUGAAGAAGGCCUUCGGGUUGUAAAGCCCUUUUGUUGGGAAAGAAAAGCAGCAGGUUAAUACCCCGCUGUUCUGACGGUACCCAAAGAAUAAGCACCGGCUAACUUCGUG
rnacentral:rRNA from 1 species